UUUUUAGUAUAAAUAUGUUCCAUGCAAUAUUUGGAAAAUAUUUGGAACAUACUUAUACUAGAA
rfam:Pan troglodytes isolate Yerkes chimp pedigree #C0471 (Clint) chromosome 2B, whole genome shotgun sequence.